rnacentral:lncRNA from 1 species
CUUCAUGGUCCAAAGAAAGAUGUUUAAACUCCUGGAGUCGAGGUGCCACUAAAGAGGCAACUGGACAACCCAUCUCCUGGGUCAGCUGGCCAACACUGGUGCCAGCGGUUGAGUGGAGAGAUAAUACUGACUCACCGGUUAAAGGCACACUCCUGGCCCUUAAACUAACAACAAAAUGAGCUGGAUACCGGCAAAUAGCAGUCAGCUGAGGUAAG